GAAAGCAGCCCAGAUUAGCUAAACGAUACAUCAUAGUGGAACAAUUCUACUGUUAAAGAUUAUGCAGAUGUUAUGAUGGAGGCAAAGAAAGACUUUCUUUAGCUACAGCACAGCUGCUGCAAACAACUUCAAAAAGACUUGGCACAGGACUUCAGCCACAAAACUUCCCCCUCGCUUCAUUUCAUGCAUGUCAUCUGAAACUACAGCAAGCUGCACCAAGGACAAAGCUAACACGAGGGGAGUUUAGAACAUCUUAUCAGUAGGGCAGUUCCUUGCACUGCCAAUACUCAAAUGCACCUUCACAAAACUCAGCUAUACUGCUCCAUUCCUUCUCAAUUUAGCAAUCUGUUAUGAAAAAGAAAAGAAAAGAAAACAAAACAAAACACAACACAACAUUAAUGGUACGGCAGACUGCUGUAUCUCUUAUUUAUACUUGCAUUACCUUCUACUUCAGGGAUGACAACCAUAUAUAUUAAAUCUUCAAAAAAAUAGCCAAAAUAUAUAUUUUUUAAUUAUCUAUUGAAGUAAAAUUAGAAAGUGCUAUCAGUUUCAGUUCACAUUCUUCAUUACCUAUACACUGAGCUACUCCGAACCAACAAGUAUCCAGACCAUGCAGCUGACUAUAACAGCUUACAAUCACAUUGAAUGUUUAUUUAAUGCCAGUCUUGCAUUUUCUACAACACGUAUGCACCACAAAGAAAUUGUAUAUUCAGUGCCUAAAUUCCAACUUCAGCUUUUAUUUUUAAAUCCUGAACAAAAAAUGGGCCAAAACAUUGCUACCCAAAAAGAACCAGCAUUGAUUUUUUAUAUUUAACAGUAAAGCACAAACAAUUUAAUUUUGUAUUAACAUUAUACUUAGUUGUGAUUUCCUUUAAUUGAUUAUAUUGGUAGGAAACAUACCUAAGAAAACUACUUUAAGAUGUGUGCAUGUGCAUGACAUUAAAUUAAUGCAUUUCUGAUGCAUAUGAACAGAAUCUUAGAAACUAUAUUAAAACGUUGCCUUUUUCUUAUUUUAUUAAUUCAUAGCAUGUCAGCUCUUUGACAUUUAAGACCCUCUCAGCUUCUAUCACAUGAGGUCAUAAACUGAUUUGUCAUUUCUUCCUAAAACUGUGAAGUCACAUUCAAAAAAUUAAUAUAAAUGACAAAAUAGUAGGAGCAACUAGAAUACUGUUAACAUACAAACUUUCUAAGUAAAACAGAGCAGAAGAAUCUACAGAAACAAGGAAACAGACAGAAAUUUACUGUUUUUUUUUUAAUAGCUCGAUUACUUUGUUUCUAAGAACUUGAUAAAAAGUUAGAAACCCAUGGUCUUAUAAAGAGUAUUAGUAAUGUUGAUUAAAAACAACAGUGAAGAAAACUCAUUAAAACAAAGGUAAAACUUGAAAUACUAGAAAUACUAACUGUGGAAUUACUAUAUUCAUGAAAACAUAACACUUCAAAAUGACUUACUUUAAUAAUAAUAAAAAAAAUGAAAGAAUAUGGCCACUAAACCCCAACCUCUACCAGCUUUAUAAGGCACCAUCUACUUCUCAGAAUUAGGAACAGACUCAUGAAACUGAACCAAUUUGUUCAACAGAUGUUUCAGUUAACCCAAAGGAAUUUUUACUUUUCUAUUGUAGAAAUAAAGAGCCAUGAAUAAAAUUCCACUGUUAUUAGCAGCUUUCAAAAUAUAUUAGCUCAAAAUCAGCUUCCAUCCCCAUUAUUUCCUCCACCUAAACAGAGAACAUUUUCCAUGCCGGCCGAGACGUGUCGCUGAAAUAAAGUAGGCGCAUUGAUAACGCAGCUUCCCCUCCCACCCCAUUUCAUGGCACACACAGGAACGGUACAGUUUUUAUUUUGCUUGGCAUUCCUCUCUCCGCGUUAGCCGAUAAUCCUCCCCACAUAGCCGUGCCAACGUGGUGCCCCGCGGCUCCCCUGCUGCUCCGGCCCCCUGCCUUCCCCCAGCAGCCGCCGUGCGCUGGGCGAGCGUUUUGUAAUAGGCGCUGUUGCAUCAGUCUAAUUGCAACAUCAUUCCCAAUGCUCUAGCUGGCUAUGGACAUCGCACUGGGAAAACACGAAUCCUGAGGCUGAAGAAAUGCAGCUGAAAUUCUGACCUCAAGCCAUUCUGAUACUUUGUGCACACACAUUAUUGGAGCUGACAGCAUCAAAAAAUGCCCUGCUUCUUAUACCCCAAAUCAUACUACAUGAUAUGAACAUCCAGACUAAAAUCCGUCUGUAAAGGCAAGCACUAACAGGAGGAAAUGUCACAAGAUCUUUCUGCAGACACCCAAAAGAAAUGGGGAAACUGCUUUUGCUCCUGUGGAAGACAAAUGGAAUAGGCUGCAUCUAUCACAAGAGAAAAAAUACUUCAUUUCUAGUGUUCCCCAAGUGCAAGUGGAAGCAAAUGGAAAAGCUGCCAUAGCCACAGCUCAGUGCAGGCCAUAGCUUUCACCAAGUUAUUCAUGUUGUCAGGCAAGGCAGAGUACAAAGAAAUUUGGACUACUUAUAAGUUAAAGCAGCUACAGAGAGCUUCACUCUUGUCUAUGACACUCGGUCACACUCGUUGCACCUCUUUGGAAAGCCCCUGCCAUGUUUCCGUCCUGGUCCAUUUCACAGACUAUUUACCCACCUCAUCAACUCCCUUGGCUCACAUGAGCACAACUCCUCCCUUCAUCCACUUUUUUUGGAAGCUAAGGGCCUUUUAUAUGUUUGUUACCUGACUGGUUUCUAACCAGGCAGGCCAGUUUUUACUGUUGUCUUAAUGACUGUGGAUGAGACAACUGAAUUUUCCAGUUUUAUGAGUAGACACUCCACAGCAGGAUGUGUCGAAAUGCCUGUGUACAGGUCUGGCCAUGGCUGUGCGUGCUCCUGGCUUUUGCACCACAUCUGGGCUGUCCCUUUGGCAUGACUUGUAGCCCUACUCAUGCCAGGGCAUCUCGACACACACACCAAGCAUCUUUGGAUGCAUAUUAUAUAUAUUUUUUUAAAAUAACUGAUCAGCUGGCAAGCCUAACCUUCUAUUUUUCUCCUCUUGCAUGUCAGCAGUACCAUCAGUCUGCCAUUUCACCCCAAAAAAAGAGGUUUUGUACAUCACUAUUUGAUAACACUAGGGAUUCCUGUGUCACAUUCCCUCCACCUCGCCUUUCACCUCACUUCCCAUGCACCUCAAAUCCUCAUUCCCAGCCUAUUCAGGUCUUUCAGAGUGCCAGCCAUGCUAGGAGGAUGGGCAGAAAGUGAGCUGGGGAUAUUCUGCUGGAAGGUGUUAACGGCUACCAUCAAAUGGCUCUUUGAUCUGCAGACAAUUAUGGAGCUGGGCCUGCUCACCAGAUGCAGGGGCUCCUUCUUUCCCCCAUUUCUUCCUUCUGCAGUACAGACGCACAGAAAUGCCAUCAACUUUAGUGCAAGGCCCUAUAAAGCAAUUAUGGUUUUAUUUAUUCAAAAAGAAAAGGUCUAUUUUGCUUUCACAGAGGGAGAUGUCAGAAAGAGUUUGCAAACCAACAGCUUAAUUUGGAAAGGGACUCCUUUGUCACAAUCCCUGUAUGCUUAAGAGCUGUCUGAGUCUCACAUGCAAUUCAAUUGCUGAGGUUUAACAAAACUUAUUUUAAGAAGUUCUUACCACUAACUUGCUUUUUUUUUUUUUUAAGAAAAAAAAAAAGUGCUUUCAAAUACAAGAUAAAAAGCAUAUGGCAUUGUUUUAGUGCUUUCUACUAAUUAGUAGUGAUUUCUUUAGAUGGGGCAAGAAAAUGACAACUUUUUUCCUCAACUGGCAGUGAACAGCCAAUUCAGUAAGCUGCAUUUUUGUUUUCUGUGAGAGGGCAGUGGAAAAAUCUCUUUCAUUUAUUAGGUCUACAGAGACCAAAACUGGCCGGGUGUCAAACCUGCUUUGUAAAAGCCCAAAUUCAUUCAGCCAUGCACAGAUAUUCCAUAGUUUUUACAACCUGUUAUCAGUAUCAACUUAACAGAAUAUGAACCUUUGGUGUCUUCCAACAAGUGUUACUGCAAAUCUAUAAAAGAGAGCAAAAAAAUGAACUGACAA